rnacentral:rRNA from 1 species
AACCUCUUUCAGUACCGACGAAGCGCCAAUAACGGUGGUGACGGUAGGUACAGAAGAAGGACCGGCCAACUACGUGCCAGCAGCCGCGGUAAUACGUAGGGUCCGAGCGUUGUCCGGAAUUAUUGGGCGUAAAGGGCUCGUAGGCGGUCUGUUGCGUCGGGAGUGAAAACUUACAGCUUAACUGUGAGCGUGCUUCCGAUACGGGCAGACUUGAGGCAUUCAGGGGAGAACGGAAUUCCUGGUGUAGCGGUGAAAUGCGCAGAUAUCAGGAGGAACACCGGUGGCGAAGGCGGUUCUCUGGGAAUGUCCUGACGCUGAGGAGCGAAAGUGUGGGGAGCGAACAGGAUUAGAUACCCUGGUAGUCCACACCGUAAACGUUGGGCGCUAGGUGUGGGAUCCAUUCCACGGGUUCCGUGCCGCAGCUAACGCAUUAAGCGCCCCGCCUGGGGAGUACGGCCGCAAGGCUAAAACUCAAAGGAAUUGACGGGGGCCCGCACAAGCGGCGGAGCAUGCGGAUUAAUUCGAUGCAACGCGAAGAACCUUACCUGGGUUUGACAUAUGCCGGAAAGCUCCAGAGAUGGAGCCCCUUUUGUCGGUAUACAGGUGGUGCAUGGCUGUCG